rnacentral:lncRNA from 1 species
GAACAUGGACUGGACCUUCCUGGAGUCCUGCUCAAUCUCUAUCAAGUGUACUCAUCUCUAUCCAGUCACUUCUCAAUGAAAAACCAUACCACAAUGAACCAGGAUUUGAGCAGGUACACUAUACCGUUAGUAGAAUUAGUGAAUGUUAGUAAACGAAUACCAUCUUGUUGUUCAUUGAUAAAAUAAAAGUAAUGGUGUAGUAAAAAUAAGGAAUCAAACUCUACCAUAGAAACCAAACAUACUAGGCAAUUAACGGAGGUAAUGAUAAUCACGGAACGUUGAAGUUUGAGAAAGUUGACAACGUUUAGUAAACAAGAUCAAUGUUUACCCUAAUUACUGGUGUCGAAAUGACUGUGUUCAAAAUAAUAUUAUUUGGCAUGUCCUCAUUUUGACCAAUUUACCACGCACAUAUGAUCAUGAUGUGUGUAACGUCUACGAUGUGUAAUCACAUUAACAUGCAUUGUCUUCAAUGGGCAUAUAAAAAGGGUCACUCCACAGAGCUCUUGUUAGUCAAAGUGACAGAGGACUGGAGAAAUGCACUUUAUAACAAAUUAGUUGUAGGAAUUGUAUUCAUUGACUUUCCGUUUCCCAUACCCUACUCCUGAGAAAGCUACAGAGUCCAGGUAUAGAAAGUGAUAUCUGGCUUUGGCUAAAGAACUAUCUACAGGAUAGAGAAAUGUCAACGAUUGUAAAUGGAACUAAGUCGUGCUCAAGGGAAGUUAAGUAUGGGGUCCCACAGGGAUCCGUCUUAGGACCUAUGCUAUUCUCUCUGUUUUGUAAUGGCCUUCCUGACAUCAUUACUGACGAAGAAGGCGAUAUUGAAAUGUACGUAGAUGACACCACUAUCUACACUGUGGGCUCAACUUCUGACAUUGUCGCGAUAACCCUGAAUAUCGUAUUAGACCAAAUGUCAAAAUGGUGUCUUGACAAUUUACUCACUCCACAUCUCGGAAAGACAGAGUAUAUGUUUUUAGGGUGCUCCAAGUUUAUCGGGCCCCCUUCAGAAAAUCAAAUUUGCUUCUGCAAGUAUCAAACAGGUUCAUUCAAAAACGUGUUUGGGUUUACAAAUUGAUUCUGGUUUUAAAUGGGAUAUUCAUACAUCUGAACUGAUAGUAACAUUCAAUCGAAAUUCAAGUCGCUGUAUUUUCUUCCCAAGCAAGCAAAACUAGACCUUUCAUCACUUAUGGAAUUCUUAUAUGGGGAUCUGUAGGUAAAACCACCUGGGACACUCUAGAGAAGCUCCAUACAAGAGCAGCUAGAAUCAUGUAUGGUUAUUCCUGGGACAUCUCGUCAAUUGAAACCCAGAGACUUGCUAACUGGAGAACUCUUAAACUAUUUUAUCAAUUAAAACUUAAUUAUCAUUAUAAGUCACCUCUCCAGCUUCAAACACUAUUUAUACUAAAAGGGAGAGAACAUAUGACUUCAGAUCAACUAACUGUUUAUGUCUUCCAAAACCAAAAAUUGGACUAUUUGAAGAAAUCUGUAUCAUAUCAAGGAGUAACUCUAUGGAACUCUCUUGAUAACGAGUCAAGAUCAUCGGAUUACAAGACCCUGAAGAAAAACUUUAUUCAACAGUUUGAUAGUUACUGUAGGAUUAGUAAGUUAGGAAAAACUUAAUAUUAGUUAAACUAAAUUCACGACCGCAUCAGCUCUGCAGCCUCUGCUGUAAAACUGAUCGUCAUUAAAUAAAUGCUUAUUAUUAUUAUUAUUAAUAUGAGAAAAUUCAUAAAAGUCUCCCUAAAAGAUUUUUAAAUCCUCUAAAAAUCCCAUGGCAUUUUUGAAAUCCCAAAUAUCUCGUAAACGUUUUGGUGUGAUAAAUCGCUCGAUUAAAUACCCCUCGGCAUCUUUCCUUUGAAACCAGCUGCCAUAUACAUUGUACCAGCCUAGCCCUAGGCUCUCUCUCGCGCGUUGUUAGCUAUGCUUGAUUCAUAGGGGUACGAAGGGGGUACAUGCGGGGACGUCACAACUAACUGACGUCAUACCUAAACCAGCCAGUCUUAUCAGUUUUAUCUGUUCGUUUGUUCGUUGGUGCAAGCUGCAGAACGGCUACGGACUAGGCUGACAUUGUACGCUUUUCCAAGUACGCUUUCUCCAACGAAAUGACGCAAAAUGUGAAGGGAAAGUUCCCAACUGCUUUCUCGUGAACUUAUAUAAUUAUGUCCCCAUGCACUUUUCCAAUUUAGUUGAGAAACAGUGCGUUCUUUCUUUCUUUCGUUUUUCUUUCUUUCUUUCUUUCUUUCUUUCAUUCUUUCAUUCUUUCUUUCAUACAGGAGAGACAAGUGGGAGACAGUAAAAAAUAUAAUGACUGUAUACAACAUGAAACGUUACGAGUGGCUGUCUGUGAUAUGCUUGAAAAUGAAUCAUUAUGUUGUUCCUCUUUAAGGUAAUUCAU